AUUGAACGCUGGCGGCAGGCCUAACACAUGCAAGUCGAACGAGUGGCGGACGGGUGAGCAAUGUCUGGGAAACUGCCUGAGGGCGGGGGAUAACUACGGGAAACGGUAGCUAAUACCGCAUACCCUCAGAUGUGCCCAGAUGGGAUUAGCUUGUUGGUGGGGUAACGGCUUACCAAGGCGACGAUCCAUAGCUGGUGUGAGCGGAUGACCAGCCACACUGGAACGGGGACACGGCCCAGACCCCUACGGGAGGCAGCAGUGGGGAAUAUUGCACAAUGGGCGCAAGCCUGAUGCAGCCAUGCCGCGUGUAUGAAGAAGGCCUUCGGUUUGUAAAGUACUUUCAGCGGGGAGGCGUUACCCGCAUAGGAAGCACCGGCUAACUCCGUGCCAGCAGCCGCGGUAAUAC
rnacentral:rRNA from 1 species